rnacentral:rRNA from 1 species
GAUGAACGCUAGCUACAGGCUUAACACAUGCAAGUCGAGGGGCAGCAUGAACUUAGCUUGCUAAGUUUGAUGGCGACCGGCGCACGGGUGAGUAACACGUAUCCAACCUGCCGAUGACUCGGGGAUAGCCUUUCGAAAGAAAGAUUAAUACCCGAUGGCAUAGUUCUUCCGCAUGGUAGAACUAUUAAAGAAUUUCGGUCAUCGAUGGGGAUGCGUUCCAUUAGGUUGUUGGCGGGGUAACGGCCCACCAAGCCUUCGAUGGAUAGGGGUUCUGAGAGGAAGGUCCCCCACAUUGGAACUGAGACACGGUCCAAACUCCUACGGGAGGCAGCAGUGAGGAAUAUUGGUCAAUGGACGAGAGUCUGAACCAGCCAAGUAGCGUGAAGGAUGACUGCCCUAUGGGUUGUAAACUUCUUUUAUACGGGAAUAAAGUGGGGCACGUGUGCCUUUUUGUAUGUACCGUAUGAAUAAGGAUCGGCUAACUCCGUGCCAGCAGCCGCGGUAAUACGGAGGAUCCGAGCGUUAUCCGGAUUUAUUGGGUUUAAAGGGAGCGUAGGCGGACGCUUAAGUCAGUUGUGAAAGUUUGCGGCUCAACCGUAAAAUUGCAGUUGAUACUGGGUGUCUUGAGUACAGUAGAGGCAGGCGGAAUUCGUGGUGUAGCGGUGAAAUGCUUAGAUAUCACGAAGAACUCCGAUUGCGAAGGCAGCCUGCUGGACUGUAACUGACGCUGAUGCUCGAAAGUGUGGGUAUCAAACAGGAUUAGAUACCCUGGUAGUCCACACAGUAAACGAUGAAUACUCGCUGUUUGCGAUAUACAGUAAGCGGCCAAGCGAAAGCGUUAAGUAUUCCACCUGGGGAGUACGCCGGCAACGGUGAAACUCAAAGGAAUUGACGGGGGCCCGCACAAGCGGAGGAACAUGUGGUUUAAUUCGAUGAUACGCGAGGAACCUUACCCGGGCUUGAAUUGCAACUGAAUGAUGUGGAGACAUGUCAGCCGCAAGGCAGUUGUGAAGGUGCUGCAUGGUUGUCGUCAGCUCGUGCCGUGAGGUGUCGGCUUAAGUGCCAUAACGAGCGCAACCCUUAUCGAUAGUUACCAUCAGGUUAUGCUGGGGACUCUGUCGAGACUGCCGUCGUAAGAUGUGAGGAAGGUGGGGAUGACGUCAAAUCAGCACGGCCCUUACGUCCGGGGCUACACACGUGUUACAAUGGGGGGUACAGAAGGCAGCUACACGGCGACGUGAUGCUAAUCCCGAAAGCCUCUCUCAGUUCGGAUUGGAGUCUGCAACCCGACUCCAUGAAGCUGGAUUCGCUAGUAAUCGCGCAUCAGCCACGGCGCGGUGAAUACGUUCCCGGGCCU